rnacentral:rRNA from 1 species
UGGGGAAUUUUGGACAAUGGGCGAAAGCCUGAUCCAGCAAUGCCGCGUGUGUGAAGAAGGCCUUCGGGUUGUAAAGCACUUUUGUCCGGAAAGAAAUCCUUGGCUCUAAUACAGUCGGGGGAUGACGGUACCGGAAGAAUAAGCACCGGCUAACUACGUGCCAGCAGCCGCGGUAAUACGUAGGGUGCAAGCGUUAAUCGGAAUUACUGGGCGUAAAGCGUGCGCAGGCGGUUUGCUAAGACCGAUGUGAAAUCUCCGGGCUCAACCUGGGAACUGCAUUGGUGACUGGCAGGCUAGAGUAUGGCAGAGGGGGGUAGAAUUCCACGUGUAGCAGUGAAAUGCGUAGAGAUGUGGAGGAAUACCGAUGGCGAAGGCAGCCCCCUGGGCCAAUACUGACGCUCAUGCACGAAAGCGUGGGGAGCAAACAGGAUUAGAUACCCUGGUAGUCCACGCCCUAAACGAUGUCAACUAGUUGUUGGGGAUUCAUUUCCUUAGUAACGUAGCUAACGCGUGAAGUUGACCGCCUGGGGAGUACGGUCGCAAGAUUAAAACUU